rnacentral:lncRNA from 1 species
GCCACAAUGGCCGAGUGAGUCUGCGGGGAUGCUCCGUUGCUAUGUUGCGGUCUAGAGCUGCGAUUUACGCCUGAAUGGCGUAAGCGUGUUGUCAGUUUGGUACGGUCAACGAAGGAUCGUCGUUACAUCCGAUUGCUUGAAGAAACGUCAGAUGACGCAGGUCGACUGUUUGCAACAGUGCUUGAGGGCACAUUUGUUCCUCGUCGAUCCUAAUGCAACACCACUGCGUUUCUAUGUGUAUGUGAAUCGUUACUCAGAGUAAGUCCUAGUCUAAGAGUCUGCACGCCACGAGCAAAAAUGCAGAUGCUGUUGAGACGCGCUCGAUAUCGCCUGGAACCGUGCACCACUGAGUCAGGGAAGUCGUAGAGACAAAAAUCUGAGUGUUAAGGCUCUUUCUGCCAGAGACUACAUUCGUCAUCAGCUUUUCUUCUUCUGUAUGGUGGGAUUGUCGUCACAAAGGAAAACCUUCGGACAGUGAGUUCGCCGAAACACCAAGUGUCUCCAAGAUAACAGUGGCAAGGUUGUUCAGAGAUUCGAUCCAUUGCCCCAGGUGUCAUAAGGGCAACGCUGUGACUGUUCCAAGCAUCAUUCUGCAGUCAGGCACAAAAAGCUUGGGAUUCCGCUUGGCCGCAAACGCCACAGCUGUGUGUGCUGGGACAAUUGUUUGGCAUCUGUACAUGGCAUCUUCACUGCCACGGAAUGUUCGAGAAAGAUUUUUCUCGUCAAGAUAUUAUUCAGCGGAAGGUGAAUUUUCUGCGGUUGUAUGGAAGCACCGAGCCCCUUGCUGCAAUUCAGUUUCGCCAGCCCGUCUUGCAGGGGCGUCAUCUUUUGCUGUCUAUUCCUACAGACACGAGUGAGUCCCAAAUGUAGUGGCAUCUGGAUAUACUGGUUGAUGUAGCCGCCUCUCUCCAACCCCCCUGGUUCAACACCUGCCAUCGCUCUCCUGGUGUAGCUUGUUUGAGGCGAACAAGUUCUCAUCCAGAAGGACAGGACAGCUGGUGCGACUAUAGGGGAUGAAAGCUCAGGUGCUUCUGACCACUCCAGGAGUUGUUGACUGAUAAGAGGCCACGAAAGUACUCGUCUAAGUUCCUUGAAAUGUACUGGUGGCCACAAAUGUACACUUUUUCCGGCUCUUCUUGGUUGUUUGAGUGGCACUGUCCUUCUUUCACUUUCUCUACUUUUAUCAAAGAGUAAGUAUCCUGGGCGUGCAGCUACUUCAGGACUACCAGGGGGCAGUGACUUUGACGUUCUCCCUUCGCUGGGUGGGAGACAGAUGCAAUUAAGUUCGCGUAUCGUCAUAGCAUUCGCAGCGUGAUUUGCGCUGUCGUUGGAAAAGACACUUAUUCCUUUGUUGUGAGGUUAUCUUCCGGCACAGCAUCAAGUGAGUCUUGAGUAUCAGAUUAUUGGAUGGGUGGUUUGCCGUGCCAAGGGGAGGGCGACCGCAGCAGCUGUUGGAGACGCUCUUCCCUGAAAAAUUUUCAGUUCCUCCUUUCUUUCUGUUUUGAACAAAGAGUAAGUCAUCUUAUGUGCAGCCUCACAUCCUUUCAAAGUGCAACACCGUUGUGGUUCAGCGGUUUAGAUCCGAGCCGAUAGCUGGAAGCUCAUAAAACGCUUUUGGCCACUACAAGGAUUUGACUGGGUGUUUAUCAGGGUAACAGAUGCAUCAACACAUGUCUAGAGUCCUCGUGAAGUCUCGUUUUUCCCCUCUCUGGUGCUGCACUAACUACGUUACUUGUAAGAAUAACAAAAGACCGGCUUCACUGUUUUGCCGUACGGUAUUUCCUACAGAAUCCAGUAGAAAAUUCUCUGUAGAUCACUUCUAGAGGACGUCAGUAGGUUGCGUAACCAUAACGGGAUGUAUUUUUGCAGUCGCCAUCCACAAUGAAUACAGUAGGGCACAACCUCUGCUGAGGUCCGUGCGCCAGUCGUGUACCCCGGUACUAUCACCCUUCCCCAAAUUUACAAAGAAUGCAUGGAUUUGCUUCUUUGUGUAUCUUCUCCUCAAAGGGUAAGUCCUUUUAGCUCGUUUCUGUCGAAGCAAAGAGGAAAGAACUGCGAUACGUCAGCGGUGCUGCAGCAGUCAGACACGUGUAUAUUCCGCUUGGAGCUAAGGAGGAGCCAGAAGUAUAGCCGUCAAGACAAUAGCUAGGGGUUUUGAUACUCUGCCACAGUUUCAAGCGGAGAGAAACUUGAGAAUAUCGAUUCUCCGCACCCCUGCCGGAUGUGUAUGAGUUUGUGGAGAGGUACUGAGUAUCACUGAUGGUCACAUUUUCUCUUCUUCUUAGACUGCCGCAAGUGAAUGAAAUCUCGUCCAGAAACGCUGUACAGCGAGUGAAAGGUGAUCGGGCUGGUAACCGACGCAUCAACGCAUGCCUCCAGUCUUGGCGAAGGCUCCCUGUUUCUUUCUCUUUCGCCCUCUCUUUGCAUUUUCGCCUUCCGCCCCCCACCACUCAAUACUCGUUUCGUUGUUUAUAAUGUUUGUGAACUUCGUGGUCGAACACUCUGUUUUCUUGAAUUUUUACAGAAAUAUGCGAAGGAGGUAAGGGUUACCGUUUUUGGUUGUCCAGGGACACGGGGUUCGUUACAUUGUCUCUUCCACUUCAAGCAAUCUAAGAACGUCUUCAUUCUCUCUGACAAACGCUUUUGUGCGGCAAAAGGUUUGUUUCUGACGCCAGAUUCUAACGUCAUCGCUUUCUGAAGGACCGCUUGUCGCCGACCGAGUGCAAUCUUUUUCAAUCGGGUCAUUUUUUUAUAGCAUGGGUAACUUCACCCGCAUAAUCGAAACAAAACCAUCACACUGCAGUCGCCUUACCUGUUUCGGUUCAGCUUAGUAAGUUUGAUUAUUGCUACCUUCAAGCAUACGAACCCCGGUUCGAAUGCUUGACCUCUCCUUGGAAUCUCCAUGGAGCCAGUUCUGGAAAUACAUAUCCGAUUUUAAGCUGCCAUCCCGCCGAGCCAAUUGAUAGUAUGCCGUAUUACUUCGGAACCCCAACAGCUGGCUGGUUCUAAUCGUGCGGUUUUGUCCAUGUUCACUUCUUCACGCAUUCAGUGCCCAAGAUAGUAGGUGCUCUCGCCGUCAUAGGCCUGAUAAGAGAGUGGAUGUCGUGGGAGUCGGUGAUCGGCAAACAGCGUCGUUUAGGAUUGACUCGUUCCAUCCUGAUCGGCCACGCAAGACACUGAGCCAUGGGAUGAGAGACAAAGCACACGCUAAGCCUGAGCCCUUCUCCACACCUUUUCAAUAAAAUUAACCAAUAAUCUGCCAUUCGGUUGGUUUGUCCUGACAGCAACGUAGUUUGGACUUGGAGGAAGAACUCGAGAGUGUGAGUUUUGCUAUGCAGUGGCCUGAUUGAGAUACAGAGAGCAGCGUCUCCGGUUACUGAAAUCAUUUGAGGCCGAUGCCACUGAGGACUCCAGGCCACUCGCACGUAUUUAACUUUAAGAACUCGAGGAUCCUUUGGUUGAAGUACAUUGUCAGUUAAAUUCGCACAGUGCCGCGCUGCCUUAGAACAAAUUGAGUGUAACUCAGUAGAAGUCUAAAGUGUGCAGAUCCUUUCUGGCACAAGCCGUCCACCCUGAUUUCAAUGGCAUGCGCACUCACGCAGUCUGAAAGCGGCAACAUUGCGGAAGUCAAUGGAGAGAGUGUGUCCCUGGAUCCAGUCACUGUGGAUGAUGGAAGAUGGGCAACUUUUGACCGGAUCCAUAGGCUUCGUACCGAAGAAAUACAGGCUUGGGCGGUUUUUAGGAAUUCCUGGCCUUCCCGAAGUACAAGAUUUUUUACGAAAACCUUGUAUUGUGUUAUGCUUCUAGUUGCAAGUACGUUUGACACAUAUUAGCGUGGUAAAGUCACCACUGCAAUACCUAACAAAGGAACGAGGCGGAUAAGGGUUCUAGUCAGUUGCAGCCACCUGGCUCAUACUCGCACCCUGCUGUACUUGAAACCUAUUUCCUCCUCGAGGGAAAAGUGUGGCCCGAAGCGUGUGCGCUUCGUUUUUCUCCAGAGCAAACGGUUGAGAGUAAGGAGCCAGCUGUGGCGACAGUAUGGCGUUUUUGUGCCUCCAUUUUGUUUUCGUAAGAGCCAUCAUAAUCAAGCAACCGCGACUACCGGAAACACUGCGAGCUCUUAUCAUCUUUUCACAUGCACCUUGUUUGUCAGAUGUGAAGCACACCUGGAGGGGUGCUGAAUUUUGUACGUAAGACAAAUUGAUGUUAAAUUUUGAAUACUAAUCAGCUCGCUGUAAGUUGCACCGUGGGUCUCCUGACGUCACCGAAAUGUCCAAGCCUUCAACCCGUAGAACGUGUUCUGGGGUCAACAGGCACUCUGGCACUGUGCCUGCGAAUGUUUCUGCCUGCACAUCUUACAUAUUUCCUUCAGAGGUGGUAAUUCGGCAUCCAAUGGGAUUUAACGGGAAGCUGGGCCACUGCAGGGGUUAUUCAGAAAACUUAUUGUGUUGCUGUUUGUAUAAUCCAGAGUAAAGAAGAGUUUCAACAAAGAAUUCGACGUGCUAUCAGGGACGUAGCCGACGAUUUUAGCUACCCGAUUAACUCGGACAGCGACGAGGGCUGAAGCGGUCCGACGAUAACCGCAGUCGUUUGGUAGUGCGUCGACUCGUUCGGUGUUGUACAGCGAUUUCAGCUCCGGUGUCUUUCCUGAAAGUUUCCGUUUCUCUAUGGUGUUGGACACACACCAUAUGCUUUCUCGUACGCCACCGCCCUUGUGGGCUGUUCACUCAGUUUGCACAGAUUGCGAGGGCCCCGAUGUUGGUGUUUCGAAACAUGUGUGGGAGCCGUGAAAGCAAUUACUUCGAUUCUUGUGUGAGAGUUGUUUGCAGUGUUCCACGUUCCCUGCUUCCCGGGUUAGCUUAGCCUUGGCUAGUUGCCAACACACUGAGCAAUGUUCCAAAAAGUACGUCUUUUCAAGUACACCCUGGUUCGACAGUUUCAAAUGCGGCGAGACACAUUGAGUUUGAUGGGUCUUUGAGACUGAAUGGAUCUUUGAGUGGGUUGCUUAGUUUAGAGUAUGAAACCAAGUUCGGACGUGCCUUGCUGUUGCCGCUAUGCAAAUAACUUUUCCUCGAAGUCUGAAUAACCUCAGCUCCGCCGUUACUAUUGGAUCACUGUAGAACGAUCACGUUUGUACCUUCCGGAAAUGAUAAGCAGGUAUACGCCUGGUCUUCAAAGAGGUUCAAUUCCGUAAGGACCCGUUAUACUAAGUCCAUAGCAGCGAGUGUAUUUUCAUUCCAUAUAGUUUGAUUCUUGCUCCUCCGACUCAUAGCCAACCUGAGGCGCCAUACAGCGCCUGCUGGAUCGUCGCGAG